rnacentral:rRNA from 1 species
GACGAACGCUGGCGGCGUGCUUAACACAUGCAAGUCGAACGGAAAGGCUCCAGCUUGCUGGAGUACUCGAGUGGCGAACGGGUGAGUAACACGUGGGUAAUCUGCCCUGCACUCUGGGAUAAGCCUGGGAAACUGGGUCUAAUACUGGAUAUGACCUUUCUCCUUAUGGGGUUUGGUGGAAAGUUUUUCGGUGUAGGAUGAGCCCGCGGCCUAUCAGCUUGUUGGUGGGGUGAUGGCCUACCAAGGCGACGACGGGUAGCCGGCCUGAGAGGGUGAUCGGCCACAUUGGGACUGAGAUACGGCCCAGACUCGUACGGGAGGCAGCAGUGGGGAAUAUUGCACAAUGGGCGGAAGCCUGAUGCAGCGACGCCGCGUGAGGGAUGACGGCCUUCGGGUUGUAAACCUCUCUCAGCAGGGACGAAGCGUAAGUGACGGUACCUGCAGAAGAAGCACCGGCUAACUAUGUG